rnacentral:rRNA from 1 species
AUGCUAACUGGACAAUGUGUUAGCUUGUUCUGUACUUACUCUGUAGCUACCAGUGAUCGAAGUUGGAAGCUCAAUUUGUACUGCUCUAAAUUGCUUAAACGAUCAGGUGUCCUGCUAUAUGGACCUCCAGGCACUGGGAAGACAUUACUUGUGAAAGCAGUAGCAACUGAGUGCUCAUUAAACUUUCUUAGCAUAAAAAGUCCAGAACUGAUAAACAUGUAUGUUGGAGAGUCAGAGAGGAAUAUCAGGGACAUCUUUGAGAAGGUAUAUCCAUCUGCACAAGCCAUGUAUGUAAUUGCCAUGAAAUAUGCACAUAUACUUGGGUUUCAGUUUUCACUAUCCAUUUCAGGCUAG